CCUACGGGUGGCAGCAGUGAGGAAUAUUGGUCAAUGGCCGGAAGGCUGAACCAGCCAAGCCGCGUGAAGGACGAAGGUGCCAAGCAUUGUAAACUUCUUUUGUCAAGGGACAAAAUCAGGCUCGAGAGCCUGACCGAGGGUACUUGAAGAAAAAGCAUCGGCUAACUCCGUGCCAGCAGCCGCGGUAAUACGGAGGAUGCGAGCGUUAUCCGGAAUUACUGGGUGUAAAGGGAGAGUAGGUGGCAAGGUAAGCGAUAUGUGAAAGCCUUAAGCUUAACUUAAGGAUUGCAUAACGAACUAUCUAGCUAGAGUACAGGAGAGGAAAGCGGAAUUCCUAGUGUAGCGGUGAAAUGCGUAGAUAUUAGGAAGAACACCAGUGGCGAAGGCGGCUUUCUGGACUGAAACUGACGCUGAGGCUCGAAAGCGUGGGGAGCGAACAGGAUUAGAUACCCCUGUAGUC
rnacentral:rRNA from 1 species